CCCUUAGAUGUUCUGGGCCGCACACGCGCUACACUGAAGGAGGCAGCGUGUACUCCUGGAUCGAAAGAUUUGGGUAACCCGCGAAUCUCCUUCGUGCUAGGGAUUGAGGUUUGCAAUUAUCCUUCAUGAACGAGGAAUUCCCAGUAAGUGCAAGUCAUAAGCUUGCGCUGACUACGUCCCUGCCCUUUGUACACACCGCCCGUCGCUACUACCGAUUGAAUGAUUUAGUGAGGACUUCGGACUGGGACCGAUGCGGCUUUCGGGUUGCGUCGGUAUUCUGGAAAGAUGUCCAAACUGUAUCAUUUAGAGGAAGUAAAAGUCGUANCA
rnacentral:rRNA from 1 species